CCUGGCGGCACUAGCGCGGUGGUCACACCUGACCCCAUGCCGAACUCAGAAGUGAAACGCCGUAGCGCCGAUGGUAGUGUGGGGUCUCCCCAUGUGAGAGUAGGGAACUGCCAGGC
rnacentral:rRNA from 1 species